rnacentral:rRNA from 1 species
GACGAACGCUGGCGGCGUGCUUAACACAUGCAAGUCGAACGAAGUGGCGAACGGGUGAGUAACGCGUAAUCAACCUGCCCUUCAGAGGGGGACAACAGUUGGAAACGACUGCUAAUACCGCAUACUGAAGGAGGGGUAUGCGUCUGAUUAGCUAGUUGGAGGGGUAACGGCCCACCAAGGCGAUGAUCAGUAGCCGGUCUUGGAGGAUGAACGGCCACAUUGGGACUGGGACACCGCCCAGACUCCUACGGGAGGGAGCAGGGGGGAAUCUUCCGAAAUGGACGGAAGGCUGACGGAGCAACGCCGCGUGAGUGAUGACGGCCUUCGGGUUUUAAAGCUCUGUUAAUCGGGACGCGGUACCGGAAUAGAAAGCCACGGCUAACUACGUGCCAGCAGCCGCGGUAAUUC